CAGUAGCCGCGGUAAUACGUAGGUGGCAAGCGUUGUCCGGAAUUAUUGGGCGUAAAGGGCUCGCAGGCGGUUUCUUAAGUCUGAUGUGAAAGCCCCCGGCUCAACCGGGGGGGGUCAUUGAAAACUGGGAAACUUGAGUGCAGAAGAGGAGAGUGGAAUUCCACGUGUAGCGGUGAAAUGCGUAGAGAUGUGGAGGAACACCAGUGGCGAAGGCGACUCUCUGGUCUGUAACUGACGCUGAGGAGCGAAAGCGUGGGGAGCGAACAGGAUUAGAUACCCCGAGUAGUCCCUGUCUCUUAUA
rnacentral:rRNA from 1 species